AGAACGAACGCUGGCGGCAGGCUUAACACAUGCAAGUCGAGCGCCCCGCAAGGGGAGCGGCGGACGGGUGAGUAACACGUGGGAGCAUGCCUUUUGGUACGGAACAACUCAGGGAAACUUGAGCUAAUACCGUAUGUGCCGGUAACGGGAAAGAUUUAUCGCCAAAAGAGUGGCCCGCGUCCGAUUAGCUAGUUGGUGAGGUAACGGCCCACCAAGGCUCCGAUCGGUAGCUGGUUUGAGAGAACGACCAGCCACACUGGGACUGAGACACGGCCCAGACUCCUACGGGAGGCAGCAGUGGGGAAUCUUGGACAAUGGGGGCAACCCUGAUCCAGCCAUGCCGCGUGAGUGAUGAAGGCCUUCGGGUUGUAAAACUCUUUCGACGGGGACGAUAAUGACGGUACCCGUAGAAGAAGCUCCGGCUAACUUCGUGCCAGCAGCCGC
rnacentral:rRNA from 1 species